AAUGAAUCCAGUUGGGCUGGUCAGGGCCUGUGCUUUCAUCUUUAAGACCUUCUGUUGGAAACAGUCCGUUGCUGCAAAUAGCACUGCGUCUGAUGGCUGCUCUGGCAAGUUUCCAAAAACCUUUCUCUUGUAUUCUAAAUAAGUGAAUGAUUCUAACAGAGCAGUGAAGACUGUCUCUUGUGAGACUAUGCCGGGGCCUGGCAAACACAGAAGUGGAUGUUCACAGUCAGCUAUUGGAUAUAUAACAGGGCCCCCAAUGGAGGAGCUAGAGAAAGUACCCAAGGAGCUGAAGGGAUCUGCAAUCCUAUAGGUGGAACAACAAUAUGAACUAACCAAUACCCCUUCAGAGCUCGUGUCUCUAGCUGCAUAUCAAUCAGAAGAUGGCCUAGUCGGCCAUCAGUGGAAAGAGAGGCCCAUUGGUCAUUGCAAACUUUAUAUGCCUCAGUACAGGGGAACACCAGGGCCAAGAAGUGGGAGUGGGUGGGUAGAGGAGUAGGUGGGGGAGCGUGUGAGGGACUUUUGGGAUAGCAUUAGAAAUGUAAAUGAAAAAAAUACCCAAUUUAAAAAAAAAAAAAAAAAAAAGAACA
ensembl:sense_intronic Gm43378 predicted gene 43378